CCCUUAGAUGUUCUGGGCAGCACGCGCGCUACAAUGGUCUUCGCAAACGGAUGCAUUCUCGAAGGAGAAUGCCAAUCUUGGAAUCUAUGCCUUGGUCGGGACAGUUGCUUGCAAUUUUUCGACUCGAACCAGGAAUUCCUUGUAAUCGUGAUUCAUCACAUCACGAUGAAUACGUCCCUGCCCUUUGUACACACCGCCCGUCGCUCCUACCGAUCGAGUGGUCCGGUGAGGCUUUGGGAUCUGAGCGGAAAGAGCGUUUCGCUGUUUCUGCUCGGAAAACUCAGUCGAACCUUAUCAUUUAGAGGAAGGAGAAGUCGUAACA
rnacentral:rRNA from 1 species